rnacentral:rRNA from 1 species
UACGGAGGGGGCUAGCGUUAUCCGGAAUUAUUGGGCGUAAAGAGCUCGUAGGCGGUUUGUCGCGUCUGCCGUGAAAGUCCGGGGCUCAACUCCGGAUCUGCGGUGGGUACGGGCAGACUAGAGUGAUGUAGGGGAGACUGGAAUUCCUGGUGUAGCGGUGAAAUGCGCAGAUAUCAGGAGGAACACCGAUGGCGAAGGCAGGUCUCUGGGCAUUACCUGACGCUGAGGAGCGAAAGUGUGGGGAGCGAACAGG